AGAAGCAGGAAGCACGGAAGCAGGAAAUAUCCUUUGGCUAGCAAAUGGCGAUUUCAUUUGCCAUGUUGAGCUUUCAUCAAGUGAAAAGCAAAUGGAACUUUCUUCUGGCUUCUGACUAAUGAUCGCGUGCCAAUGCAAUGGCAAACUGCCAUUUGGACUUGGACAAUCAGUGAGGAAUGCUUUAAAGGACAGAACAGGCAAACAAAUGAAAUUGAGAACUUCAGCAGCUCGGCAUAAAAUAUUACCCAACCAAGGCGCAGGCGAUAGAAAAGACCAAGGCUUAAAGAGGAACCAUUUUUUUUCUGAAAAUUAAUGACUGCAUUUUCAAGUGAGGUGCCAAAAAGGAUGCAGGCAAGCGGCAGACUGCUUCUUUGUUCGUGCUUCACUUUCUCAUUUUGCGAAACUUUGUAAUGUGCAGAUUAAAAAUUUCCGCUGAGUUUACUA